GUCCAGUUGUAAUUCACCUUACACCUGAAGACUGAGUUGAAGGCCAACAGCUUCUCUGCUUGACUUCAUUUAUCAUGCCUCAAAGUAUUUCAUUCACAUUGGUAAAGGUUCAAGUAUUUGAUCAGGAAGCCUCCUGGGCACCUCCCUUUGGAGGUUUUCUGGGCUCAACCCACUGGAAGGAGACCCCAGAGAAGACCCAUAAAUCGAUGGUGGGACAAUAUAUCCCAACUGCCCUAGGAGCCCCUUGGAAACCCCAAGAAUGAGCUGGAGGAUGGCGCUGGGAAGAGGGAUGCGUGGGGUUCCCUGCUGGACCUGUUGCCAGUUAUUACCUGAAUACAAAUAUCUAAGAAAUAUCCUUAAAGUCUGAUAUGACACAAUUGGGUUAAAAAAAACUAAAGUUAAAAUAUAGCUUAACUUUUUUCUAAAUUCAGGCUUGUCUUCCUUUUGAGUCAAUGAAAAGGCUUGUUAUUACCCUUAAUGGGUACUAACAGGAAAUUUCCUUAACUGUGAUCUGCUUGCUCACGAUUUGUGUGUUUAUAAAAAUAAAAUCGAGCUUUUGGGCUCCAAACAGA